UUGAUCGAAAUUAAUUACAAGACCGUUAAUAAAAAAAAAAAAAGCUUGAAAAUAAAAUCUAUUUAUUUGUAAGAAAGGUCUUACCUGUUUGGCAACACGAACUCGUCCUGUGAUCCAAGUCAAGGACAUCAUCUUCAAAAUAAGAACACUGGCCCACCAUGCAUAUAUCGUCCAAAGUUUCUGUUCUUGUUCCUUUUCAAUUGGAUUCGUGUUAUAUAGCAUCGUGUUUCAUGCACGCAAAAGAAAGACUGAAGAAAUAGAAAGGGAGGGAGACAGAUAGAUAGGAUCCUCUUUCUCCUUACGUUUUCACUUCAAGCCGAAUGACGACGAACUGUUGAACUCCACGGGAGACGAUCUAGCUGCGAGGUGAAAUCUCGCUCAGAUUCUAUUUGAAAGUCAAAUGACAACCGAUUAUCCGACUGGCUAACUUCUAACUUGAAAUUGAUUUUCAAAGAAACAGAUAGCUGCAUAAUAAAGAAAAUGGCGGAGAGGCACGAAGAAUUUCUUAAUAAAACCGGUUCACAUUCGAUCGAGGACACCAUCAUCGUCAUCGUCACGAUUUAUUCUAUCGAACGAAGAAAUGACGUCAUGCUUCGUGCCUCGAGAAGCGUUCUUUGCGUUCUUUAAAAACUCGUAUUCAUUUAAAUCGAACGUUCCCUUUAAGGUAGCUCUUUAGCACAGGAAAAAAAGGAAACAAAACAAAAUAAAAAAAAAAAAAAAACAAACAAAAACAAAAACAAUAAUCACGAAAGACAAUCAAUCGAUAGUUGUUACCUCCUGUAACAUUUUACUGCAAUAAUCAUCAUUUCUUGUAAAUUUGUUAUUUUGAGAGAUACACGAGGUUAAAGAUGAAAAUAAAGAUGGCGUAAACGUUGCAUAUUUGCAAUUGAACAGUUUCUCGUUGAUAUCAUUUAAUUUGGCUACGGAGCUACGACGAAAUUCCGUGGUACAAAUUCGACGAAUUAAAAUCCAAAUGAAAAAUUGACCUUCGUGGUUUCAUCGCCAAAAAUAUCGUUUCUCGAUGAAUAACAAAGAUAGCUAAUCAAAAAAAUAAAAAAAAUAAAAAAGAAAGAGAAGAGGGGGAAAGAGAGAGAGAGAGAGAGAGAGAGAGAGAGAAAGAGAGAGAGAGAGAAAAAAAAAGAAACAAAGCAAAAAAUCGUCUUAGCGAUGAAUCUUGUAAAAAUUUACACUUAGAAAUUCUUAUACGCGUUCAACUUAGUAAUUAAAAAAUAACUAUAAGUUAUAACUUUUAAUAGGACAAUAAUGUAAAUAAUUAAUAAUGUUUUCAUUUAAUAAUGCAAUUGAUCCGAGAUAUGUUUGAAAUAGAUUUCAAUUAGAUUUAUUGGAAUGUCAAAUCUGACGCCAUGUUAAUAUUAAUCUAUUCAUUUUUAAUCUUCAAAAAUAAACGAUUUAAUCGGGCAAAAUAUAUAUAUAAACUACAUAUCUCGGAAUAUGAGUGUUUAUCUUUUAUAGGAUAUAUAUAUGUAUACACACAAACACACACACGCAUAUACACAUAUAUAUAUAUAUAUAUAUAUAUAUAUAUAUAUAUUUAUAUAUAUAUAUAUACAAGUAUCGUAUAGUUUGCUUCGGCCGUCGUGUAAAAGAGUCAAUGUUUUUAGGUCAGGGAAUACAGGAAUGAGUGAGUGCGCUGACAUCAUCGUAUAGUAGUAAGAGUGACGCAAUCGCUCGUAGUAACGUCACGUUCUCGCUUGAACGAGACCUCGAAAUAUCGAUUCUACCUCGAGUUGGAAUCGAUUCUCGAUAUAUGGUCGAUUUUGUUUGGACGCUUACUCACAAUAUUUCAACACCCAUUAUUAUCACGGAACUACUACGGAAAUGAUCAUUUUACCCUUUCGGGCAUAUUGAUUUUCCAAAAAACCUUGAAGCAUCCUACUGAAAUAUAUUUUUCUCUUCGAGCAAAUUCUCUCCCUAUUACGUAUUAAAAAAUAUACCAUUAAUAUAUACUUUUAUCAUUAUUUAUCCCAACGAAUUUAUAUAAAAUUAUCAUGAAAAACAAUGAUCGAAGUAAUUAAGCUAAGGAAAAUUAUUGAUCCACGUGAAGUAAUGUGCUUUUAACAUGAUAUCGUAACAUAAACAAGAUUAUAUCUCUCCUCUGACCUUUUUUAACCUUUUUACUAAUUUCUCACAUAUAGAAAUGUUAGAUAUGAGGAUUAAUAUUGAUUUACAAUAGACGAAUAUUUUUCAAUAGCAUAAAACGUGUCAUUUCAUUCUCUCUCUCUCUCUCUCUCUCUCUCUCUC